ACUCAUGGUUAGCCCAUGGCACACGGCUCACAGCACAGCAUGGCACACGUGGUUAGCCCAUGUCCCCACACAUGGCACAGCAUGGCACUGGUUCACAGCUCACGGCUCGUGGCACAGCACUGCAUUCAUGGUAAGCCCAUGGCACACGACUCAUGGCUCAUGGCACAGCAUGGCACUCAUGGCUAGCCCAUGGCACACGGCUCAUGGCACAGCAUGGCACAGCACGGCACACACGGUAAGCCCAUGGCAC
rnacentral:lncRNA from 1 species